rnacentral:rRNA from 1 species
GUGGGGAAUAUUGCGCAAUGGGGGAAACCCUGACGCAGCGACGCCGUGUGAGGGAAGAAGGCUUUCGGGUCGUAAACCUCUGUCAGAAAGGAAGAACCUCCCAAGUCCGAAUAGGGCUUGGGACUGACGGUACUUUCAAAGGAAGCACCGGCUAACUCCGUGCCAGCAGCCGCGGUAAUACGGAGGGUGCAAGCGUUAAUCGGAAUCACUGGGCGUAAAGCGCGCGUAGGCCGCUUUGUAAGUCGGACGUGAAAGCCCUCGGCUCAACGGGGGAACGGCGUUCGAUACUGCGAGGCUUGAGUCCUGGAGAGGGUGGCGGAAUUCCGGGUGUAGGAGUGAAAUCCGUAGAUAUCCGGAGGAACACCGGUGGCGAAGGCGGCCACCUGGACAGGUACUGACGCUGAGGCGCGAAAGCGUGGGGAGCAAACAGGAUUAGAUACCCUUGUAGUCC